AACGGCGAGUGAACGGAGAUUAGCCCAGCACCGAAGCCCACUGCUAUUUGGCAGUAAGGCAAUGUGGUGUUCAGACAGUUACCUGAGGUUGCUGAGUUGCCCGAAGUCCAUCUUUGAAUGUGGCUUUAAUUUGAACCAGAGCGGGUGGAAGUCCCGUGCGGGUGACUCGUCAGAAAAGUUAGUGGCCUUCAGAUGUGACUGUCUUGGAGUCGGAUUGCUUGAGAAUGCAGUCUAAAGUGGGUGGUAAACUCCAUCCAAGGCUAAAUACCUGCACGAGUCCGAUAGCAAACAAGUACCGUGAGGGAAAGUUGAAAAGUACUCUGAAGAGAGAGUAAAUAGUACGUGAAACCACUCGUAUGGAACCAGGUGGAGUCCAGCUGCGUAUUGCUUGGAUUAAGCCGGUGUGAUUAUUGUUUUUGUGCGCAUCUUGUGCGGUUGGCUUGGAAAGAGCUGGUCGGAUUUCAUCCGAUUCAUGUUCCGACUGGGUUGUUGGUAUGUUGCCGUGCAAGUAUAAAAUGCGUUCACGCCGGUGUAUUUCCUUGUGAUUGGCAUCACGAUCGAUAAGACUGUCGGUGGACGAUGGUUAAACCAGGUGAGACUGGCUUUCAAGUUGGUCACGCUUGGGAUGGCAGGUCACUGGUCUGGAAUCUUGUGGUUCUAGUGCUGGUGUAAAAAGGCUUCGGCCGGCCGAUCAUUGUUUUACGCUUUCUAUCGUGCAGUAUAUCGUUCAUAGUUAGCUGGCCUCGUUGUGUUUGCUUGCAAGUGACGAGUCGCUUCAUGUAUCGUGUAAAAGCGCGUAUGUGUUGUGAGUUGUGGCUGUUUGCUUGGCAAUGGGGUUGGUACAAGUGAAUCGUGG
rnacentral:rRNA from 1 species